rnacentral:lncRNA from 10 species
CCGCUCCCGCCGCCGGGAAGGCGGGCUGGGGAACCCUGCGGGGGAGAAGGAAGAGGAUAAAUGGCCAGGCAGCAGAACAUACGACUUGCCCCAGGAUAUCAUGCUGCCAGGAAGGAGAAACACCAGCAUCACCAUUCAGUCCAGCCCGCACCAGUGCCACCCACAGCCACUGACCCCUGGGCCCAUGACAGCAUCGCCCUUGGGCCUUCCUCUGCAAUUCUGGUGGUGUGGAAGGAGUGGCCAGCAUGGCUCCAGCAAGGAGGGAUGUCCUUGGCCUCCUUGUUCCAGCCACAGGGUCGCCGGAGCCCCAGCACCCUCUCCCUUCCUCUCUCCUUAAUGCCCACGCCUGCACCUACUGGAGCUUCAGGAGCGGGUGGACAGACCCAACUUGGAGCUAAGGGUUGGGUUCCAGCCCAGUCCCUGCUGAGAGUGACCUAAAGCAAGCUGUGCUGCUCUCUCACCUACAGCAAUUGCAACUAAGAGAUGAGAACCACCGGAAAGAAGGAGCACCUGCUUGUCAGGGAGCAGAGAGGGACCCUUGACAUGCGCGCGCUCCUGCUGCUGAGACUGUACUGUUCAGAAACCUGUCCCUCUCCCCUCUUAAAGCCAGAGGGCUCUCCCUGUCAGUUUGCUAUUCUCAAGUGGCGUGGGCCUGCCCCUUGAGAGAGGGAAGAAAAGCGCGUGGUUGUCACGGUGGGAGAGGUACUGCCUAGCAAUGGAUGGUGGAAGCUGGUGGGCCUGGAAAGUGUUCCUCCACAACGCUGUCCCUCUGCCAGGCACGUGCGAUCCAGAGUGGGUUAGACUGGUUCCCGUCACAGGCAGGGUCCUCAGUGGAAUGGUGUUUUUGAAAGAUGGAGCGUCCGGGCGCCCCCAUCUUCUCACAGCACAGAGAAGGGGCUGGCUGGCCCGCCACCGGGAGGCUGGCGCAGAGGGACUCAGCCGUGGCCCCGGAACAGCGGGCCACCGUCAGGAACCGGCGAGUCAGGGUGGGAAGAGGCCCUGGAGUGAGCGAGGCUAGCUUCACUUCCUUCAAACUCUGAAGGCCCACCCCAUAAAAAGAAGGGGUAAAUUCGUCUGGGGUCUGAACAGCCAGGACCAAGAGCGCUCUCAGGCUGCUAGUUGGAGAAACUGGCUCGGCUCGGGCCUUGCUGGGACUCGGGCUCCCAGGGUCUGCUCGGUCUCUCUCGGGGCACUCGGGUCUUUGCUGGGCCCGGCGCCGGCCCCGCACAGAGAACCGGCUUCAACGGCGCAGUCUCAGCCUCCGGGAGGAAAAAGCUGGGAGUAGGCCUCACUGACACGGCCCCGCCUCGCGGGCUGCGCGCGCACCGGGACCUGCGCGGUGGCGGACGGGGAAGCGCCACGCAAGGCCCCGCCCCGCCCUUCCACAGGAAGGAAACGCGCCCCCGGGCGAGCGCCAGCCCCUCCCUGGAGCGGGAUCGCCGCAGCUCUCCUGGCCGCCUCCGGCGCCGUUAGCCCACCAUCCCCCGCUAGAGGGCAGCACGGGGCGCUUUCUCCAGGCGCUCGGCGGACCUGGGUACGGGGACCUCAUAUCAGGCUGCAGAGAAGAGCCUUCAGUCAAAAGGAUGGCAUGAAAAACGGACUAUACUUGUAACAUCCAGCUUUUAAAACGUGGUGGAGUCAAAUUUAUUGCUUCCUCAGGGCUUAAAAAAACCUCUUCUGUAAGUCUGCUUUAUCAAACAGAAUUUUUUUAUCCCCUUGGUUGCUUGAAACUGAGCUAUCAAACAAAUUAAUCAUAUAUUAAUGUCCCUCUAAGCCGGAAACCUGGAAUUACUUUGAAAAGGUAAAAUAUUUUUCAACUUUGGUUUUCUGAUCUUUUCAGUAGUUGUUUCGAUUUGAAUUAAACCUCUAUAAAAUUAGCUUUUACAAGUGAAUUUAAAAGCCACGCC